CCCUGGAUUAGUUUAGCAUCACGUGUGUCUGAGACAACACCUGUUUUGCAUAUUUGAGCUGUUGUGAAGGAUUCUGUUCAGGGGGUUGAAUAAUUUUGUCUGCAAGUUAAACCGGUCUCACGUCGGCCCGCGUGCCUGAGUUGUGUUGCGCGCUCGCGAUGGUGCAUUAAACUAACCAAAAGCAGCUGUGUUAUAUUUGAACUCGCCCCGAGUGCAUGCACGCGUUGCGUUCCGUCAUCAACCGUCAGAGAUUUCCUCAGAGAUCAGUUUCGCUGUUUGCGUUUAAACACUGAGUCUACGAUUCUUUUCAUCUAUAAAUCGGCUCAUACGCGACUAAAGGUUGGUCCAGAUUGCUGAGUUCUUGUUUGAAAUCAUUUUGAAUGUUUUGUUGUGACUCGUGUAUCACAGUCCGAAUUCGUAAUAAUAACACACAGUGAAACCGUAGCCACGGCUUUGAUUAAAGGAGUCGAUUCAGUGAAGUGAUUCAUAAUGGCCGUCACUGCGGAGUGAACGCGCGCGCCAGAAGACACGAGUGAGAGAUGAACAUGGAGGACAGAAGGGAAGAGAAACACACCAUGGCGUCUUCUCGAAGUGUCAUCGUCACUUAUUAUGAAGGGGACAUUAACACGGUGGUGGAUGAACACUUCUUCCGAGCUCUGAGUAAAAACAGUACUCCCAAAGACCUGAGCGUUAAACACCACGAGAGACAACCAUCAUAUAACACUGAUUCUCCAACUCCUCCCUCGUGGCCUACAUCAUGGUCCAGGAGGAGUGUGUGUUCUCCAAAUCACACAAACCACAUGGCUCCAUGUUUCUCUGCUGAGGAAGCAGUUCGGUCUUCAUCAGUGAUCGUGAGCCGGCCUGAAACUCCUGCUUCCUGGAGUUUACCCCAAAACUACAUGCUAACACCGUUCUCUCAUCAACCAUCUGCAGCUCCAUCAUACCACCCUCCGGAAUGAGGUGUGUGGACAUCUGAGAACAGCAAGGAUUUAUGCUGGUAUUGACAUCGUCAUACCCACAAAUACACCACACCCCCACACUACCAUGCCCACAAAUACACCACACCCCCACACUACCAUGCCCACAAAUACACCACACCCCCACACUACCAUGCCCACAAAUACACCACACCCCCACACUACCAUGCCCACAAAUACACCACACCCCCACACUACCAUGCCCACAAAUACACCACACCCCCACACUACCAUGCCCACAAAUACACCACACCCCCACACUACCAUUCCCACAAAUACACCACACCCCCACACUACCACGCCCACAAUACACUGUACUAUCACGCGCACUGCCAUGCAAUACCCUUUCCCUUGAUGUAACAUGGAGAACAUGGAGCUGAUGGACUAUAGUACUAAAAGUAGAACUGACUGACGUCUAGCUCCGCCCCCUGUGUAGAGCAUUUAUCAGCUCUGUGGUCAUUUAAUAAGAGUACAGUUAAUAUUAAGCCUCAUUUUGUGGCUCUAAUGAUGGGUGCCUGAGAAUAAAAUCUCCGUGAUGGAUUGUGUUGCUAAUUCUGGAGCUGAGAUGAAGGUGAAUCAAUAACGAGCCGAUUUCAUUAAAAAAAAGAGCAGAAAUAGCAAGACUCCUUCCAGGUGACAUUUAUUAUUAAACAGGACAUUAUUUAAAACUGAAUCUGACUUCCUGUACCUGUUUAGCUCUAGAACAGGAGAUUGAGGAUUUAAAAAUAAGUGUUGUAAAACAUGAAGAGAGCUCAGGGACAGAACAUGGCUCAGUGUAGAGCUUCAUGGAGAAAUAAACGUGUUUAUAUGUAUGUUGUAUCAUUUUAUUCAGUAAUUUUUGUUCAGCAGUACAGAUGAGUUCAGAAUGAAGCAUCAGCAGGGGGCAGCACUGACUUGCAUGUGCGCAGCAAUGGUCCGAUCUCACACCUCUGAAGAUUUGAUACCUUUAUCUCCAGGGUUCACUCCUCAUCUCUCGUUUGAAGGGAUGUUAAAUUUCAGCACUAAUGAAGUGCAGUAAAUGAUGUGAAUAUCGUAGUAGACCAUGAAGCUCAUAGUGAACAUCCUGUAAAUACACUCAGUACUGCGUGCUUUUACUCUUCUACACCUGCACACUGUAAUGAUCUGGUUUCACACACAUGAGGAUGAGUUCGGUUAUGAUUUCAGUCUGGUUCCUCUCCAGGUUCCUUCCUCAUGUCGUCUCAGGGAUUUUUUCCUUGUCACUAUCGUCUCUGGAUUGUUCAUUAGGGAUCUAAAUCUACAUCCAGAUUUCUCUAAACAAUGUUUGUGAUGAUGUGUGUCGAUAAACAUGCUAUAUCAAUCAAAUAAAUUUAAUAAAGUUUGUGGACAAACAUUUUGCAUAUUAGAAACUCUGAUGGUCUGCUGGUUUUUACACUGCAGUUUAUCACUAAAUAGCUUUACUGCUACCUGAUUUAGCUACACGCUGGAAUUUCUCACACAUAUUCAUAUUUCUAAUUGUUGUAGCUCAGGCUUUGUGCUAUGCAUUGGAGAGGUUAUGAGUUCAUAUCCCAACACCACCUAUAAGCACAAGACCCUUUAAUCAUCUGCUCAUUUGCAUCCUGUCCAUAGCGUUAUAGCUCUGGAUUAAAGCAUCAUCCAAAUGAGCAAAUUUAAUGACUUGUGUUUAUAGAAUAGAAGGGGUGUGUGUGUGUGUGUGUGUGUUUGAUGGUUUAGUUUAUCUGUGUAGUGACUGACUGGUCAGUAGUGCGUGUGUUUCAGCUCAUAUGUCACAGCACUGAAGGUCGGCAGAUGACCAGAUGAAGAUGAGCAGUCUGAUUAUUCAUCCCGGUCCUGUCAAAUAAUCUACAUCAUCAUUUCAUUUACACACUGCACACAGACGAUACGAGAGCCGUAAUUAACACCUCAGUACCAGCAAAACUACAUUACUACUGAAAAAUACUGCUCUAUAUCAGAACCUGAUAAUCACUUAAUGUAAAUUAAAGUGUGUGUGUGUGUUGAUUGUCUGAUGUUAGCAACGUCCUUGAAUCAGAGCUGUGUUCCACUGAUUGAUCAACCUAAAGUGUGUGUGUGUUCAUUCAUUAACGGACUGAGCACAUUGAUGUUGUCCAUGCUGACAGAUGUUGAUAAGGUAAUGCAGUAACCAAUCAAUAUAUAGAUUAUUUUGUCUGUGUUCGUGUACCGGCAUGGUCACAAUAUACAGUGGAUAUAAAAAUGUACACACCCCUGUUAAAAUGGCAGGUUUUUGUGAUGUAAAAUAUUAAACCGAGAUAAAUCAUGUUAGAA